UCUCAUGUGGCAUUUUGUGAGCUCCAAAGGAAUGAGCUGUGUUUCCAAGUACCUACAGGCACUUCAGCUCUUUGCAAGCUUGUCCUGACAUGGCUUGAAUGACACCAAUGUAUCUGGAAUAUUGCAUGGUACAGAAAGUUAAUUUUUAAAUGAAUGAGCUGGGCUGGACUAUAUAAAUUCCUUAACUACUUGGAUAUCAGCUGGAGGAAAAAUCAUGUCAGGUCAUCACUGGAAACUGCUGGCACAGCUCUGAUUUUCAGGAACUUUCAGUCCUCUUAAAUGUCCUCAUUUUAUGGGAAAAUCAGAGACAUUAAGGAUUUCCUCGAGUCAAGCUUACAGAAGCCCAAGCAUACAGAAACCCUCUGUAUGUUGACAGAUACAAAUUGAUUGAAGUUGGAUGAUGAUAAUAUGCUAUUUGUAGAUACGUCCUUUCUAGAUAUAUCUUGUUACUUUGCUUUCCUGGUGAGGCAUGCAUUUCAAAUUCAACUUUUCCCUGUACGUGUGUAUGUGUAUGUCAUUGCCCUCUACUGGACAGAUCUAGAGUAA
rnacentral:lncRNA from 1 species